rnacentral:rRNA from 1 species
UACGUAGGGGGCAAGCGUUAUCCGGAUUUACUGGGUGUAAAGGGAGCGUAGACGGCGGUGCAAGCCAGAUGUGAAAGCCCGGGGCUCAACCCCGGGACUGCAUUUGGAACUGUGCUGCUAGAGUGUCGGAGAGGCAGGCGGAAUUCCUAGUGUGGCGGUGAAAUGCGUAGAUAUUAGGAGGAACACCAGUGGCGAAGGCGGCCUGCUGGACGAUGACUGACGUUGAGGCUCGAAAGCGUGGGGAGCAAACAGG